rnacentral:rRNA from 1 species
CAGUCGCCACGGUAAUACGUAGGGUGCGAGCGUUAAUCGGAAUUACUGGGCGUAAAGCGUGCGCAGGCGGUUAUAUAAGACAGAUGUGAAAUCCCCGGGCUCAACCUGGGAACUGCAUUUGUGACUGUAUAGCUAGAGUACGGCAGAGGGGGAUGGAAUUCCGCGUGUAGCAGUGAAAUGCGUAGAUAUGCGGAGGAACACCGAUGGCGAAGGCAAUCCCCUGGGCCUGUACUGACGCUCAUGCACGAAAGCGUGGGGAGCAAACAGGAUUAGAUACCCGCGUAGUCCCUGUCUCUUAUAC